rnacentral:tRNA from 1 species
UGGCCCAUGGUGUAAUUGGUAACACGUCUGCUUUUGGUGCAGAAGAGCCUAGGUUCGAUCCCUAGUGGGCCAACGA